GGGACGUUAGCUCAAUUGGUAGAGCGGCUGCCUUACAAGCAGUAGGUCGUAGGUUCGAUUCCUACACGGCCCACCA
rnacentral:tRNA from 1 species